CCUCGAUGAGGAAGUCCCCCAUCCGAAGUCCUGCUCUCCAAGCCACGCCGCCCUCAUCCACCGAUUCGAGGGAUGCUGGAUGACCACUCAUCCACUCUGUUCCAGAGGGAGCUGUUGGUCAGAGGAGACUGAGGCCCAGAGGGACUAAGGGACUCGAUCUAAUUCCACCAAAGCUGGACGCGUGUGUUCUUCAGCUGCCCCAAGGACAGUGGGGAAUGGGGAAAGAGCCCUGGCUCUGUGGUCUAAAAGCUGUCGCCGCUUCUUACUUCUCUGACCUUGCAGGAGGCUCCUGACCCCUCCCCUCCAAUUCCCUCAUCUCUACUACAAGGGCAUUGCUCCAUCUCCAGGCCUGGCACUCUACUGCUCUAAUGGCUGUAUAACCUAACUCUAGAAUCCAACAAUUUCAGGAGCACCACCUACCAGAAAGUCAUUGGAAGACGUGCCUCAGUUGGAGGGUGUGUCUUGGGAGGGGGGUGUGGGGGAAGAGAGCUGGGUAGACCACGA